CUCGUGUUAAAAAGAAGAGGAUGCGCAUGCGUGAGGAGAAGAAGCGGGAGAGUCAGAGUACCGGGAGCAGCAGGAAGAGGAGAAAGAGCCGUUUGUCUGAAUUUGUGGUCUCACAUGUUCAUUCAUCGAUGGAGGACGCCGCCUGUGACGAUGCUGACCUUCAGGGACACCGUAGAGAGAGUCAUCUUUCUUCUUCUGUCUGACUUGAAGUCGUCGGGGUCCGUACACCUGGACACAGGCUGAACCUCUCUGUGGACUCUGUGGACUCUGUGGACUCGUGAAAGCCUGCUGAAGGGUUUGGAAGACCCUGUCGGCCAUGUUUCUUAGCUUCUGUCCAGUCAAAGAAAAAAUCAGCUGUUGGUGUUUCCUGGCUGAACCUCUCUGUGGACUCUGUGGACUCUGUGGACUCGUGAAAGCCUGCUGAAGGGGUCUUCGAUGAACAUCUCAAAGUUAGAGAUGAUCCUGCUCUUCUUUGUCUUCUUCAGCUCGUGUUUUCUGUGGAUCACCAAAUUUCAUCGUGUCUCGCCUCAGGAUCGACCCCCCCCCCCCCCCCCAAUGAAAAUUAAAUCUAGUGAGAAUUAAAUAUUUAAUGAACAUUUGUACAGUUUGGAUCUUGGAACAAAAUAAAAAUGUUUCAAAAGUG